GCCGGGGUGGUGAAAUGGUAGACACAGGGGACUUAAAAUCCCCAGGAGCCAAAAGCUCCGUGCCGGUUCAAGUCCGGCUCCCGGCACUA
rnacentral:tRNA from 1 species